GCCUGGGGAGUACGGCCGCAAGGGUAAAACUCAAAUGAAUUGACGGGGGCUCACACAAGCGGUGGAGCAUGUGGAUUAAUUCGAAACAACGCGCAGUACCUUACCUGGGUUUACAUGCUUGGAUGCCUGCUCCGAAAGGAGUUAGGCUCCUUUCGGGUGAAACUUGCACAAGGUGCUCAAUGGCUUGUCGUCCGCUCGUGUCCGUGAGAUGUCGGGUUUAGUCCUUUAAACGAGCGAAACCCUUGCCGUUAGUUGCCAGCGAGUAAUGUCGGGGACUCUAACGGGACUGCCGGUGUUUAACCGGAGGAAGGUGGGGAUGACGUCAAGUCCUCAUGGCCUUUAUGCCCAGGGCUUCACACGUGCUACAAUGGCAAUUACAAAACGACGCGAUACCGCGAGGUGGAGCAAAUCGCAAAAAAAUUGCCUCAGUUCGGAUUGCAGGCUGGCAAUUCGCCUGCGUGAAGUCGGAAUCGCUAGUAAUCGCGUAUCAGCCAUGACGCGGUGAAUGUGUUCCUGAGCCUUGUACA
rnacentral:rRNA from 1 species